GAGGUAGGCCAGAGUGCUUGCUCUCGGAGGACGAGCGGCGGACGGGUGAGUCAUGUCUGGGAAACUGCCUGAUGGAGGGGGAUAACUACUGGAAACGGUAGCUAAUACCGCAUAACGUCGCAAGACCGUAGAGGGGCACCUUCGGGCCUCUUGCCCUCAGAUGUGCCCCGAUGGGAUUCGCUAGUAGGUGGGGUAAUGGCUCACCUGGGCAACCAUCCCAAGCUGGUCUGAGAGGAUGACCGCCCACACUGGAACUGAGCCACGAUACAAAACUUAGUGCGUCGUAGUCCGGAUUGGAGUCUGCAACUCGACUCCAUGAAGUCGGAAUCGCUAGUAAUCGUAGAUCAGAAUGCUACGGUGAAUACGUUCCCGGGCCUUGUACACACCGCCCGUCACACCAUGGGAGUGGGUUGCAAAAGAAGUAGGUAGCUAAGAGACGG
rnacentral:rRNA from 1 species